rnacentral:rRNA from 1 species
GACGAACGCUGGCGGCGUGCUUAACACAUGCAAGUCGAACGGAAAGGCCCUGCUUUUGUGGGGUGCUCGAGUGGCGAACGGGUGAGUAACACGUGAGUAACCUGCCCUCGUCUUUGGGAUAACUUCAGGAAACUGGGGCUAAUAACGGAUAGGAGCUUCUGCUGCACGGUGGGGGUUGGAAAGUUUCGGCGGUCGGGGAUGGUCUCGCGGCUUAUCAGCUUGUUGGUGGGGUAGUGGCUUACCAAGGCUUUGACGGGUAGUCGGCCUGAGAGGGUGACCGGCCACCUUGGGACUGAGAUACGGGCCAGACGCCUACGGGACGCAGCGGUGGGGAAUAUUGCGCAGUGGGCGGGAGCCUGAUGCGACAGCGCCCCGUGCGGGAUGACGGGCUUCUGGUUGUAAACCUCUUUCGCAUGAGACGAAGCGUGAGUGACGGUAAUGGGUAAAGAAGCACCGGCUAACUACGUG